ensembl:lncRNA
AUCUUCAAAAAAAACAAAAAAACACUAAAAUACGGGCAAAUUAUUUAAAAUGGGAAAACUGCAAGUACCUAGGGUAAGACUCACCUGCAUUUCUAGAUAUUUUGUUUCCGUCGUCCAAGAAAAAUGGACGCCGUCGUCGCCUCCGGGUAGCAAGCCCCCACCUGGGCCCGGGCAGCCGGGCCCUUUCCUCACAAACCAGCCCCGCGGGAGCGCAGCACGGCUGGCCCGCAUGCGCAGAGCGAGGCCGCGCCUCGUCUUGCGCGUCACGUGACAGGCGCUGCGAGCGUAGCGCAUGCGCUCUUGUUACUAGUGGGCAAACGUAGGAGGUGGCGGCUCUCCUGGCCAAUCUCCUGUUACAUCCUUACCCCCUGCUGCCAGCCCCACACACAGCCUGGUGGUAAAUCUGGUCCUGUAGGUUAUGGGGCUGGGCGCUGUUCCCAGGUGGGCUUGUUCCUCCUGAUCAGGAAGCUACGAGCUGUGCCCACCCACCCCCUGCGCAUAGGCAGCCGCGGCGGCAGCUCCUGUGUCUGCGGCGCCAGAGACCGAAAGAGGCGGCAGCUACCAAGGAGGAAUCACAAUUUGAAACAAAGUGCAGUUUACGGUAAUAUUAGGAAAUAUGCACCCAGAAAUAAGUGUGAGCAUCCUGAGACCGCCAUGCUGGAGAGGUCUCAGGUAGGCCCCCUGGUAGGCAGCACCGGCCUCACAGGCCUCUCUGCAGAGGCCCCGGACGCAGGCACGAGAGAAGCCUUCGCAGACCAGAUGGCCACGACGUCGCCUCAGCGGACACCAACUAGGUACCGCAUAUUUCCCUUCUCUUCCCUUGCUGCAUGGUCACAGCGGGCUGCGAGCUCCAUCACCUGAACAAGUUAUCAAGAGGACGCUCAUAUACAGUAGCUGUAUAGCAAGAAGGAGCUCCUAACAGGAGAAUAGCAAUUAAACAUGAAAAUCAUAUUCCAAAUUCUGUGGGUUCUGAGCAUUUGCUUCUCGGCCAGUCAGAGUCAAGAAAGGAAUAAUGGAUUCAAUCAAAGACGACAGUUGCAUUCAUCUGGUCGAAAUCUAGCUCGAUCACAAUCUGCUAAAGCCAAGCCUCUUCCAAAUUCAAAUCCACCAAGAUCCAUCUUGUCUCAGUAUCACCAAAACUUAGCUAGCCAGUCACUAAGCAGAUCAACCAAUUCAAAGUUACUUCCUCCUAAAAAGCAACUUCCUUUUAAGUCAUCUAUCCCAAAAAAACUAGCAAAACUACAAACUCAUUCAAAUAAAGCUAGCCAACCAAAACUAGGUCCAACUGAGAACAGUUCAAAAACUCAAAGUAGGUCUAGGCAGUCACAAGUUUACCAAAAUAACUCUAUUCAAAAAAGGCCUCAUUUCAAGUCAACUAUUCACAAUAGACCCCACUCAUUACAUCCUGGUCAAUUACAGUACUCUAAAAAACAGCCUCAAAAAUCCCAAUAUCCUCCAAAUCCAUCUAUUAAAAAAGUGAUAAAGCCAUUCAAAUCUCUUUCAAAUACAGCUCUUCAGCAAAAACCUCAACUAACGAAGCAUAAUCCUAAUUCACACACUCUACAAAAAGCUAGCCUAAACAAGCCACAUCCAAAUGAAUUUGUUAAAAGAAGAACCAGACAAAGAAAGCCUAAUUCAAAAGCACUUGUCCAAAAUAUACCAAGCCACACCAAAACUCAUCUAGAAGCACCUGGUGGAAGAAAACGUAUACAGCCGCUCAAUCCAAGAAAAUGUCUACAACCAUCUAGUCAAGGAAGACGUCCACAGUCAUCUAAUCGAAGACAACACCCACAUCCACUUGGUCAAAAGAUACCAAAUCCACUAAUUAAAGUACCCAGACAAGUUAAGCCUUGUAUUAGGCCACACAUUCAAAACAAACCUGAAUCACACCACUAUCAUCCACAUGUACCUCUUUCUCCAGACAACCCAUAUCCGUCUCCCUUCAUUCCCAGCCUGAAACCUCAGGUGCAACCAACUAGCAAAGUGGUAAGCACCAGAACCCAAGUCUUAAACACAACUCCGUUUGCUGCCAUUGCCACCACAACUCCCCACUACACUCUCAGCUCCAACACAAUCUCAGCUACAACCACAAACAAAAUAUCAUCUGAUCUCAUCUUCAAAAGUACAACUCCUUCUGAUAUCACAGUUUCCAGUCCUAAAACCCAAGUUCCAGUCACCAUUCCAUUCACUGCUGCAACCACGUCUAAUGCUCCAACUACCGAGAUUUCACCUCCCCUUGUUACUGCCACUACUCUUCCUGCCACCAUGCAAACAACUCCUUUUACCUUACAUACCAUACUCAAGAUGACCACUGAGUCAGGAUAUGAAACAACAGAACUUCCCUACAGCAGCACUAACCCUGAUAAUAACUACAUAUAUGAAACUACAGAAUCUUAUUACUAUGAUGAAUUUGAUGUCUCUAAUUCUGAAAUUACAGCAUCCACCUAUACCACUCCAAAACCUGCCUCUACCGCCAACUAAAUACCAGUUUUCUAAAGUAUAUUGCUGUUUAACUUCAUGAUUAUGUCUUUUUCUUUAAAAUAAUUUUCCAUAGUAUUUAAAAAGACAAUAAAAAUGAAGCAAGUGAAAUUAUGAAGUAUUUU